GAUGAACGCUAGCGGCAGGCUUAACACAUGCAAGUCGAGGGGCAGCGGGAUGUAGCAAUACAUUGCCGGCGACCGGCGCAAGGGUGCGUAACGCGUGAGCAACAUGCCCGUCACAGGAGGAUAAACCAUGGAAACGUGGCCUAAUACUCCAUAGUAUAUUUAGGAGGCAUCUCUUUGAUAUUAAAGCUUCGGUGGUGACGGAUUGGCUCGCGUGACAUUAGCUAGAUGGAGAGGUAACGGCUCACCAUGGCGACGAUGUCUAGGGGAACUGAGAGGUUAAUCCCCCANACUGGUACUGAGACACGGACCAGACUCCUACGGGAGGCAGCAGUGAGGAAUAUUGGACAAUGGAUGGAAAUCUGAUCCAGCCAUGCCGCGUGCAGGAUGACGGCCCUAUGGGUCUUAAACUGCUUUUGUAUGGGAGCAAUAAGUUCUACGCGUAGGAUGAUGAGAGUACCAU
rnacentral:rRNA from 1 species